rnacentral:rRNA from 1 species
AACGCUGGCGGCGUGCCUAAUACAUGCAAGUCGAACGCACUCUCGUUUAGAUUGAAGGAGCUUGCUCCUGAUUGAUAAACAUUUGAGUGAGUGGCGGACGGGUGAGUAACACGUGGGUAACCUGCCCUAAAGUGGGGGAUAACAUUUGGAAACAGAUGCUAAUACCGCAUAAAACCUAACACCGCAUGGUGUAGGGUUGAAAGAUGGUUUCGGCUAUCACUUUAGGAUGGACCCGCGGUGCAUUAGUUAGUUGGUGAGGUAAAAGCUCACCAAGACCGUGAUGCAUAGCCGACCUGAGAGGGUAAUCGGCCACACUGGGACUGAGACACGGCCCAGACUCCUACGGGAGGCAGCAGUAGGGAAUCUUCCACAAUGGACGAAAGUCUGAUGGAGCAACGCCGCGUGAGUGAAGAAGGUUUUCGGAUCGUAAAACUCUGUUGUUGGAGAAGAAUGUAUUUGAUAGUAACUGAUCAGGUAGUGACGGUAUCCAACCAGAAAGCCACGGCUAACUACGUG